UACGAAGGGUGCAAGCGUUAAUCGGAAUUACUGGGCGUAAAGCGUGCGUAGGCGGUGAGUUAAGUCUGUCGUGAAAUCCCCAGGCUUAACCUGGGAACUGCGUGUGAUACUGGAUGGCUUGAAUUCGGGAGAGGGAUGCAGAAUUCCAGGUGUAGCGGUGAAAUGCGUAGAUAUCUGGAGGAAUACCGGUGGCGAAGGCGGCAUCCUGGACCGACAUUGACGCUGAGGAGCGAAAGCUAGGGGAGCAAACGGG
rnacentral:rRNA from 1 species